UCCAUGAUGCAGACUCAGUGGAGUUAGUGCUACCGGAAACUCGACUAAACGAAUGAACAAACAAACGAUUCGCGAACGACUCCUCGUGGCGAACUGAAUCACGUGAACUGGGUCACUGAAACUAAUCAUUAAAUCCACCAUUAGGUAAAACACGACAUUGCACACUGUAUGUCCCAUGGGAUGGCAUCCCUUGGUGAGAAAAAGGGAUUAACCAAUCAGGUGAGGCAACCGUCAUGACACUGAGCCUCCUGUGAUUAGUCAGCAGUGUGCCAAGGGAAGCCUUCACACCAAUCAAAUGAAAGCAUCAACGUCAAGGUAAACAAAUAGCGGGAGAUUAGCACGUUUGCAUUUUUUUUUAUCAUAUUAUCGUAUAAGCAAGUGGAGUUAUGGAGGGUCGAGAUUUAGAGUAUUUAGUAAAUUGUACCAUACUGCCACAUGGGCAGCAACUAAAGAAUAAAUCUGGCGGCAGGCCAAUGCCUAAGCUUCAGCUGCGUGUGGAGAGAAAGAAGAGUGGUUAUCGCACUUUCAAUGAGGAGAACUAUGUCCGCACCGAGUGGCUAGCUGGUAGCGCUAAACUUCAGCCACUAUUUUGCUGGCCAUGUCUUCAUUUUGACAAAGAUUCAUGCUCCCUGAACAUUCCCUGGGUUACUUAUUGACCACUUCGCCACCAUGAAAGACAGGAGAAUGGCCUUCCUAUACAAAUAGGGUCCUGUUUGGCUAGGCCAGGUUUUCCUUCUGUGCAGCUGCUGGAUGACUGGCCUGCCAUAUAUUCCCUGGUAUACAUCCCAUGUAGGAGAUCAUUUAUGAACUUCUGGGGGCUUUGGAAGGAGCAGCGCUCCACAAGUCCUUUUGGAAUGACCUUUAAUGCAAGUAGAUAACAUUACCACAAAUCUACUUCAACAUACAGCAGACUAGCGUCUUACCUCAAUGAUAUAUAUGUGCAUUUAGAUUAACCGAGUGAACGGCUGAUGCAUUUAGAAAAACAGUGCGACUGAAACUACUGCAAAUGUAACUUAACCUAUACAAAUAAAGUCAAACAGAUUCUUACAGAGUGGCCCAGGGCCUCUGUUGCUGAUGCUGAUGAUGGACCUGGAGCUGGUGAUGGGUCUUCUGUUGCUGGUGCUGGAACUGCUGUUGGUGCUGGUGCAGGGCUCCAGACUAACUUUUUCACAGGGACCAGCUCAUAUAGUUAGGCCUCCUGCUCCUCUUACCCUGGGAGAACUGCUUAACAUCCUGCCUGGCAUCAUAGUCCUCCAGUUGUGGCCCCUCAACACUAAUACGGAUUAGGUCCUCAACAGUUUCAGUAUGCAGGCUUGAUCUAACAUCUGACUUGAUUCUGUUUACUGACGAGAAGCCUCUUUUCACAGACUGCUGAAGAGAUUGGGAGCACCAGCAUGAUUUUGACCAGGUGUAGGAUAUUCUGCAAAAGACGAAGUGUGGUGAUCAAACCAACUUUCCAAAUCACCAAGUCAACAGUGACAAUGAUCAUGUAAUUUUUGAUACUACAGAUAACAGAGCCUACCGCAAAGUCUGAGCAGUAGGGCUCUUUUGUCGUCAUGACUUGCCACAGUCCAAGAUAGCUUUUGUCCUUGAAUGACGUGUUUAUCGUCAUUUUCAUCAGUUGGAACUCCUCUUUGGCCUUUUCUUUGCUGCAGCCAUUCCUGGCAUGAGAUGGAAGAAUGGCAGGAACAAGGAGGUCUGUAUCAACAUGAUUCAAUUUAUUAUGUCAACAUAAAUAUGAUAGCACACGAAAAACUCACCUGUCCAGGACAGUGGAGAAGUGUCGUAGGAGAAAGUUCACCUCUUCCACACCAUGGUUCAGGAGCUCCAGCCUAUUAUCUGCCCAAAAGUCAUGGCUGAAGACAUUGAAACACUUCACUGCCUUGGCUGUUGGUGCAUCCUUUGUGUUCUCUUCUAUCAGAAAAAGACAGACAGAAAAAGGUUAGGCCUCUCAACAGUGCUCUAAACAUGUCAUUGUGCCUAUGAUAUAAUGCUAAAAUACAACAACUCACCAAGUAGGCUGCUAAAUCUAUUCUUCAGGUGUUUCACUGUGGACUCACAGGUCAGCACAAUGGCUCUUUGCAGUCUGGGAGCACACUGGCUGAUUGGUUGACCUUCUGCCAGCUCUGCAGCUUCACCUUUAGAAAGCGUGACAUCCUGUGAAGCAUGCAAAAUUAAAAUGCUAUGUAUAUCUUAUUAACAUGAAAUAUACAUUAGAUUUUAUAUAGAGUAUAUUGUGUACCUGAUACUUGAACGUCCCAGCCCCAGGUUCUCCUCCUCUCUGUUGGCGCUGCUUCUUCAUGGCUGCAAGGAACUCAGACAGCUUACCAUCAGGUUUGGGGCUAGCUGCCAUAGCUUCUAUGGUAGCCAAGAGAGAUUCGAUGCCACUAACAGCCUGGGAAGACAGUUUUAUUCUUAAUAUAAGCAACAUGUUAAGGGGAAUAUAAAAGUAAUCCCCUGGCCUCCUUUUUCUCUCUUCUUUACCUGAGGUAGGAUUACAUUGUUUUUCUGAAGCUGCAGGCUGAAGUUGCUGAUGGAAGAGAAAAGGUCUGACAGGAAGUGGCAAAAUGCCACAUGUCCCAUCCUCCAUGCUGACUUUGACCUGCAAAUAUGUAGUUCUGAUUCUCAACUCAUAAAACACCAAAGUUAAAAUGUUUUCAAUAAUUGAUUCAUACUGUCAACACAAAACACUGAGAUAAGAUAAUACUUACCUUCUUUGCUCUGCCAGCUAUCUGCACUGGCCGAGGCACCUGCCAGAUGCUCCAUGUGCACAUACACGGCUGUAAACUGGCCAGAGGAAUUACCAUCCUUCCCUGGUUUUAGGAAGGUCCUCAAACUCCGGGACACAUGGGGCAGCCACCUGGUCCCUUUCACUCCACUCGGUGCCUUCACUGUGACUGUUCAGCUCCAAGUGCUUUGAGUUCCCUCAUUGAUUUAGGGGUUAGGUGGUAUGUUUUCCAGAUGAGGUGCAACAGGUCAUACACCUGCCCAAUCAUGGAGACCUCUCUUUGCACCCUCAACAUCCCUAGCUCCAAUCUUUACAGAAAAUAGAUAUAUAUUUUUUACAUUUUAAUUACACUUUGGAGAAUGAAUAUGUAUGGCAGAUAUGGUAAAAGGGAACCUACCUGUGUGGCAUGCAGUGGAAUGGGACAAUGAAGGACCCAAUCUCUGCUUGAAGGAGGGCUAUCACUCCACCUCUGUGUCCCAGAUUGACAGCUGCACCGUCUGCACCCAUGGCUACAAUUUUUUCCGCCCAGUUCUCACAAGGCUUUCUUGGCUGCAGCAUAAACGCCUUAAA